ACCAUUUUGUGGUUCGUAAGUGUGAUGAUUGGGUUUUCACGCUUAUGUGUGAGAUGCGCCUCCCUCAAACCUUGUUACAUCCUUAGCACAUUAAACAUCUGACA
ensembl:snoRNA